AUACGGAGGGUGCAAGCGUUACUCGGAAUUACUGGGCGUAAAGGACGCGUAGGCGGUUUAGAAAGUCAGAUGUGAAAGCCUAUGGCUUAACCAUAGAACUGCAUCUGAAACUCCUAGACUAGAGUGAGGGAGAGGUCAGUGGAAUUAGUGGUGUGGGGGUAAAAUCCGUAGAGAUCACUAGGAAUACUCAUAGCGAAGGCGACUGACUGGAACUUUACUGACGCUGAGGCGUGAAAGCGUGGGGAGCAAACAGGAUUAGAAACCCCAGUAGUCC
rnacentral:rRNA from 1 species